rnacentral:tRNA from 1 species
GCACGGAUCGAAUAGCGGCAAUUUCGCAGGCUUCAGAAGCCUGUCCCUUAGUGGGUCCGAAGGUUCGAGUCCUUCUCCGUGCA